rnacentral:tRNA from 1 species
GGGGCCGUAGCUCAGUUGGGAGAGCGCUACAAUGGCAUUGUAGAGGUCCGGGGUUCGAUUCCCCGCGGCUCCACCA